rnacentral:tRNA from 1 species
GGUCGCUUAGCUCAGUUGAUAGAGCACCACAUUUUUUGUGGUAGAAAUCGGUUUGAAUCCGAUAGCGGCUU